rnacentral:ncRNA from 1 species
UGAAACACGGACCAAGGAGUCUAACAUGUGCGCGAGCCGCGGGGCAGUACGAAACCCGUAAGGCGAAAUGAAGGUGAACGCCGGCGCGGUCCGGCGGAGGUUGGAUCCCGUCCCGUCGGGGCGGGCGCACUACCGGCCGAUCUUCUCCGCCCUGUCGGCGAGGUCGAGCGAGAGCGUGCAAGUCGGGACCCGAAAGAUGGUGAACUAUGCCUGAGGAGGUUGAAGCCAGAGGAAACUCUGGUGGAGGACCGUAGCGAUUCUGACGUGCAAAUCGAUCGUCAAAUUUGGGUAUAGGGGCGAAAGACUAAUCGAACCGUCUAGUAGCUGGUUCCCUUCGAAGUUUCCCUCAGGAUAGCUGGCGCUCUGUCGCAGUUUUAUCUGGUAAAGCGAAUGAUUGGAGGUCUUGGGGGCGAAACGCCCUCAACCUAUUCUCAAACUUUAAAUUGGUAAGAAGCCCGACUCGCUCGUUUGGAGCCGGGCAUGGAAUGCGAGUGCCAAGUGGGCCACUCUUGGUAAGCAGGACUGGCGAUGCGGGAUGAACCGAACGCCGGGUUAAGGCGCCCGACGCGACGCUCAUCAGAGCCCACAAAAGGUGUUGGUUGAUAUAGACAGCAGGACGGUGGCCAUGGAAGUCGGAAACCGCUAAGGAGUGUGUAACAACUCACCUGCCGAAUCAAUCAGCCCUGAAAAUGGAUGGCGCUGGAGCGUCGGGCCUAUACCCGGCCGUCGCGGCGGUACGAGCAUCGAGUUGGUGCGCUAGGCCGCGACGAGUAGGAGGGCCGCGGCGGCGGGCGUAGAAGCCUAGGGCGCGAGCCCGGGUGGAGCAGCCGUCGGUGCAGAUCUAGGUGGUAGUAGCAAAUAUUCAAAU